AAAUCCCCUAAAAAUCCCAAUAUUCCCCCCAAAACCCCCUUAAAAAUCCCCCCAAUAUUCACCAAUUUUUCCCCCAAACCCCACAAAUUUUCCGCAAAAUCCCCUAAAAGUCCCCUAAAAACCCCAAUUUUCCCCCCAAAAUUCCCCAAAUUUUCCCCCAAAAUUCCCCAAUUUUUCCCCCAAAUCCCCCAAUUUUUCCCCCAAAAUUCCCCAAUUUUUCCCCCAAAUCCCCCAUUUUUCCCCCCCAAAUUCCCCGAUUUUUCCCCCAAAAUUCCCCCAUUUUUCCCCCAAAUUCCCCAAAUUUUCCCCCAAAUUCCCCAAUUUUUCCCCCAAUUUUUCCCCCAAUUUCCCCCCAAAUUCCGCAAUUUUUCCCCCAAAUUCCCCAAUUUUUUUUCCCCAAAUUUCCCCCCAAAAACCCCCAAUUUUUCCCCAAAAUUCCCCAAAUUUUCCCCCAAAAUUCCCCGAUUUUUCCCGCAAAUUCCCCAAUUUUUUCCCCCAAAUUUCCCCCCAAAAUCCCCCAAUUUUCCCCCAAAUUCCCCAAUUUUUCCCCCAAAAUCCCCCAAUUUCCCCCCCGAAUUCCCCAAUUUUUCCCCCAAAUUCCCCAAAUUUUCCCCCAAAAUCCCCCAAUAUUUCACCCAAAUUCCCCAAAUUUUCCCCCAAAAUUCCCUGAUUUUUCCCCCAAAUUCCUCAAUUUUUUCCCCCAAAAUCCCCCAAUUUUCCCCCAAUUUUUCCCCCAAUUUUCUCCCCCAAAUUCCCCAAUUUCCCACCAAAUCCCCAAUUUUUCCCCAAAAUUCCCCAAAUUUUCCCCCAAAAUUCCCCGAUUUUUUCCCCAAAUCCCCAAUUUUUCCCCCAAAUCCCCAAUUUUCCCCCAAAUUCCCCAAAUUUUCCCCCAAAAUUCCCCGAUUUUUCCCCCAAAUUCCCCAAUUUUUUCCCCCAAAUUUCCCCCCAAAAUCCCCCAAUUUUCCCCCAAAAUUCCCCAAAUUUUCCCACAAAAUUCCCCGAUUUUUCCCCCAAAUUCCCCAAUUUUCCCCCCAAAAUUCCCCAAAUUUUCCCCCAAAUUUCCCCCUAAAAUCCCUCAAUUUUCCCCCAAAAUCCCCCAAUUUUUCCCCCAAUUUUUCCCCCAAAAUUCCCCGAUUUUUCCCCCAAAAUUCCCCGAUUUUUUCCCCAAAUUUCCCCCCAAAAUCCCCCAAUUUUCCCCCCAAAUCCCCCAAUUUUUCACCCAAAAUUCCCCGAUUUUUUCCCCAUUUUUUUUCCCAAUUUCCCCCCAAAUCCGCACCUUCAGCAGCUGCUGCAUCACCCGCGCCCCGUCGCGGCUCCCGAAGUGCCGCCCGAGGAUCGGCGCCAGUUCGGGCCCGAAGGGGCUCGGGGGGGGCGGGAGGGGGGGAGGGGCGGCCCCUUCCCCACCCCCACCCUCCCCUGCCCCUCCCCCACCCCCUCCCGCCCCUCCCCCUCCCCCCCCCGGGGGCGGUUUCAGGACGAGGUUCAGCCGCGCUGAGGGUCCGAUGGAAUAAUCGCACAGGCGGCGCUCGUCUGGGGGAAAUUCAGAUUAUUCACCUCGAAAAUGGCCCAAAAAUGGCCCAAAAAUGGCCCAAAAAUGGCCAAAAAUGGCCAAAAUAA
ensembl:lncRNA